rnacentral:misc_RNA from 1 species
GUGAAUCAUCAAAUUUUUGAACGCAAAUUGCGCCUUUUGCGGAAGGCAUGUGUGUUUGAGGGCACCAUUCAGCAAAUAUUGUGCAUCGUUUUUUGUUGCACACGUUGAGGAGCUUUCCAAGAAUUUUAAAUUUUGGCUUGCGCAUAAUGAACAGCGUGAAAGUUUUUUUCAGUUCGAGUGUAUUAAAAUCUUUGCUUGGAUUGUGAAAAAACAUAAUCGCGCAAUGGGUGUGGCAAUUUCUUUUUAUCCCUACCCCAAUGCCACUCUUUCUUACGGAAGAAUGU